rnacentral:rRNA from 1 species
UAACUGAAGAGUUUGAUCAUGGCUCAGAUUGAACGCUGGCGGCAGGCUUAACACAUGCAAGUCGAGCGGGGGAGAUUGCUUCGGUAAUUGACCUAGCGGCGGACGGGUGAGUAAUACUUAGGAAUCUGCCUAUUAAUGGGGGACAACAUCUCGAAAGGGAUGCUAAUACCGCAUACGCCCUACGGGGGAAAGCAGGGGAUCA